AGCGCGCGAAUCCUGCACCGCGUGAUCCAGUCUACGAUCGCACGUAGGGCGGCGAGGAGCGCGUUCCUGGACCCGCAUCAUCUCGACGACUCGAAAACUCAAAGUGUUCUUCAUGUAAUAACAUUUACAGAAAUCGGAAAUAGAAUACCCGCGCGAAAGUCGCAAUUAACUCGCGAUAAUCCGAGCACUCAGCUGCCCAUAUCAGUCGAAAUAUGCCACAAGCGGGCCACGAGACGACGAACCUUCUGAUGACGUAUUUCAUCCUUAUUCUUCUACUAAUCUCGCUUUGGGUAUUGUACGCGGGGUUGUUUUUUUAAGCGCAACAGACAUUCCUCACCAUGGGCUGAACAACAGAGAAAGCACGUGUCAAAAGGCGGAUGCGUUCGGAGGAUCCAAAAUCGUCACGGACACCUCGCUCGAGGCUCACCAGUUCUCAUUUAUUAUACUUUCUACAAUCUAGGCGCCUGGAGACAUGUUCUACGCAAAUUUAGUGACCGAUUUCCGCGAUGAGAGUCAUUCAAAAAUAUAUACUCACCGGGCAAUAGGAAGAAUUUUAAAACUUUAUUUCCCUCGUUUCGCUUCAUUCUCGCCACUUCGUCGCGGAAAUCGGCUAUCGUUAUUACACUAAUUAUAACUUCUUAUAUAAUUAGCUAUGCAUACGUUAUCUGAAUUCGAAGCAAUCAUUGAAUUGUGCUCAUUUGAGAGGUCACCGAAAUAAAUCAGUUUGUCCCGCCUGCAACUGCGAUGUGAAAAGUGUAUUUUGACAAAUUUCUUCACAAAUUGGUUUGUAGUAUAUAUUUUCGAUUUAUGCGUAACGCCGCAAGCGGUAAAAUAAAUCUCUUCGUUUGGAAAGCCGGCUGCAAUUUAUUUCGCUGUUACUUACCGUACACUCCGGAAAUAGCCCAUUAUCGGGGCAUGCGUAAAGCGGACUACGGAAAAAGAGAGACGUGGCGUAUGAAAAAAAUGCGAAUUUUGUUACGGGGCGCGAAUAGAGAGAACUUUGUGGAGACGCGGACGACGUUGCCCGCGCGUUACGUGGGCGUUUCUCCAAAAAUAGUCGGCGCUUCCAGCUCUCGAAGUUCGACGGUACGUCCGCGUGGAACUAAAUCGGUAUUUUCUACAGCGUGCGCGAAAAUAGACGACAUGAGUUAGUACACAUUUCAAUGCCGGGCCCGCAAUUAGGGCUGUAUUAACAAAAAAACUUUCAAGCGUUACGUAAGGCAGGGGAUCCGUGAGACCGUGUCACGGGUGACACGAAACGCAAGUAUCGAGUUUCUCGCUCGUUGUAUUCGAACACCUCUCAAAUACCGUCCUGUACGAUAUUAAUAUCCACUGUUUUUUGUACUCGCACGAGAUAUUCGUUCUUCUAGCCUCGUUAUUCGAUAAUUUAUACGUCCCGUAUAUUCGCCAAGUCAAACAGCGGGUUUACCCGCCUCUAACAGGUCGCGUGUUUUUGUAUGCUUCUUCCAUCCCGAACAAAUCUGCCAUCUCCGUACUUGACCGUACCGGAACGUGUCCCGUUAUAUUUGCAUAUCGCUAUUUCAAAUGUUCCUUAUAUUAUUGCCAACAUUAACGGACAGGUGCGUGCAGGUGCGGAUGACGAAACGCGCGAAUUAAAUAAGAUACGCACACGCGCGAGUGCGCAAUUGACGUGUCGCGUUACGUAAGUGAUUGACACUCGAGGGGGAUCGAAAAUCGCAACGUUACUCGUAACUUACGCGGAUUGUUUGUUAUUACUAUUUUGUUCUGAUGACGACCGCGCGGUAUCAUAAGACACUCGUAGUAGUAAAUAUUUUCACGGGCGUGGACUUAAAUGUUACAGCAGCGCUCCAGUAACCGCUCGAAAUAGAUCUAAUCGCUCCAGAUUCGUAGUUGCUCGAUGCGGCAUCCGCACACCCGGUGUCCCGAAAGAUGUUUAUGUAUGUCGGCGUAGCAAUGCCAAGCGUUUCCUCGGUUGCUCUACCUUCCUGAAAUGCGAUAUUUAAUUAGAUUAAGAAGAAGAACCAACUGCCCAAUGCUAAUAAUUUGUGAAUUAUUUUAUGCAUUUGUCAAUAAAUGACACGACUAAUUAAGUAAAUGUUUUACUUUUACUUUUAUUUUUAUGUAUUAUGAUGAAAUAUUAAUUGUCUCGCCAAUAUUAAUAUGAAACUGAGGACUUCAGGCCGAAACGUUUACUUAAUUAGUCGUAAUUAUUAGAGAAUUAUAUUAGAGAAUAAAAUAAUAUUCACAACUUGUUAGUGUCCGCGUAGUUAGCCUUUCUCCCCUUUAAUUUGCACUCGGAUUUACACUGUAAUAAACAAGCUUAACUUCCUUUUAA